CUCCCACUUCCCAAUCUAUAUUCAAAAUUCAGUAAGUUGAGGACUGAGGUGCAAUGCUAGUGUACUAGAAGUUCCACACACUAAUCGGGUACAUUUAAUAGUAGAAAGAAAACAAAUACAACAACAAUUACAACAAUAUUUCGCCUCACUGUCUUCCUGUCCCUCUCUUUCUCUCUCCUCUUCUGUUGCCUCUGAAAGCGUGCAAGGUUGUCUUGAACCUCUGAAGUCACACCAAAGCCUAAAGACCAGCUGCACCUGCACCCAGCAUAAAUCUUCUUCUAAAACCCUCUGCCAAAACCCACCUAAACAGAACUUUUAAAGAUUUUGGCUCAUUCAUUACUCUCUCUGUCUCUCCGAUUCUCUGUUGUAUAUACAAUCCAAACCCAUUAAACCUAAAUUUUCGUUAUAUCCUCCCUUUACAUUACUGUCUCUUUUUUCGCAUUUUCUCUCUUUUUUUCUCUCUCUUUAGGGUUCCAAUAUGGUGUCUUUUGCAAGUUCUGAAGAUGCCCAUUUUGCCAAAGUUGGUCAAUUUUGCUCUGGGUUUAUUGCCCAACAUUUAUUGGUGAUUUUAGCAAAUGGGUUUGCUUCUAAUUGGUCCAGCAAGAGCAGCAGACUUCUUAUAACACAAGAACGAGUAGCUCGUGGUGGGAUGUUAAUGUUUAACUUCACUGUUUGAUGCUACAUUGAUUUGAGUUGGAGAAAGAAAGGGGGGGGGGGGGGGGGAAUGAAGCAAUUGGUCCGUGGAACUCCGGUAUGUAUAUCGAAAUUUUCUGUAAAGUAUUGGUAUACUUUAAUACAUCUAUAUUACAGCCAACAUGCUGCAAUUCAUGUAAGCAAUUAAUGUACUUAAGGAACUCUAUUUCCGUAGCCAUUUUGGAACUUAUGUAUUGGUAAUUUCUAGGCAGUAUUUUUUGGGCAUGUUCUGGGUAAGUAUCAGGAGAGGAAAUGAGAAUUUGGUAUUUCUAUA